GGGGGGGGGGGGGGGUGGGGGGUGGGGGGUGGUUAAGUUUGAUAGAAUCUCAUCACAUUUAGUUGACACACCACCCUUAAGAGUUAACAAGUUAGAGAGUAAAAAGAGAGCAUAAAAGUUGACAAAACUCCAAACACUGAUGCAGCUAUAUAAACAAUCAAAAUGAAAGUUGAGCGUACAUUGUAGUUGUGACAUCAUGUAAUAAAUUUAUUUAAAGGGGAUGACUUUAACGAAACAUCAAAAUACAAAGUUUAGAUCAUGACCCUUUUUGCAUGUGUAGCAAUUAGAGUUUGUAUUAUAAAAGAAACUCCACCCGAGACAAGUUCAUCUCAAUAGCAUCAGAGACAUAUCAUCAUUAUCAUGCAAACCUUUUAUUAUCAAAUUGGAUCUGACUAUUCUAAGCCUAGAAAACUUCUUAAAAAGUGAAAAGAAUUUAACAACGAACCAUCAACCUAAGCUCAAUCCCUUAAGAUUCUAAGAAUCAAUGGUAAAUCUUGGGAAAGGCAAUUUUAGACAAGAAAGAGACCUACUGUCAAACCUAGCUGGCCCGUGGAUGAGUACCCAGAGCUACCUUGUUUGUUGCAGUCUAAUUUCAUGCAACCUUGGAGUAAGCCACUAAUAUUUCCCUAUAUUUUGAGAUGUUAUUGAUGAAGAGAUGACAAGGUUUGGUUUUCUCUGAGGAUUUGUGUAAUCUACAAAACACAGAAUGUACUAAGUCCAAAUGAGAAACAUAUUCCUAUGAGACAUGCAUAGCACAAUGAAAGAUACAAUCACACUCCAGUUUAAGAUAUCUUCUAGUGAACCUGCAAAUUGCCACCAUCACUCUGGUCCUCAUAGACUACUAAUCUUUUCCUCUCAUAUCUUAAGAUCAAGUGCCUAUAAGCUUCUUACAAAGAGAAAUUCAUACUUUAAUUCAGACAUCGUCACGUAUUCUUUUCUAAGGCAUAUACUACAUAAACUUCUUGAAAUCAUCAUAGUAUUUUACAAGUUUUAUCCAAGUUCCUCAAUUUUGUUACAAUUUGAUGGAAAUGUAUAUGAAAAAGCAAUUGUAAGAUAUGUAGUGAGUUCCUGUUAAUCUAUUAAUUGCUUGAACCAAUGGUGCAUGCAAUAUAGUUCCUUUUUAGUACCCUCAUCAAACUUGGAAUAUUCCCAGCUUCUACAGGAAUUUUCUCUGAAACUUCAUGUGAUUAUCAAAUAAAUCAGAAGUCUUAACUUGCAGCUACAACAAUUUUUUUUAUAUAAAAAAGUCUCAGUCAAUGUCUGAUGUCUGUAUUCCUCUGAUACUUCUCUGUUAUCGAAUCCCAAACACUUGACCUGCAUUCAUUGUAACUUGGAAAGCUAACUAUCGAUGUUCGCUCUAAUUAAUCAUAAAUCCUAACAUUAUAACCCUGAUUAAAGAUUGUAAACAAGUAAUUCAUGGAAGUAUUUGAUGCAGGACUAAAUUGUAUCACAUCCAUAGACUGAAUUUUGCUAAUUUAAAUUCCUUUAAUUGGAGGCUUUAGAUUUGAAAUCAUUAGGGUUUUUUUUUGAAGUCCAAUAAUACCCAAACAAGGUUGUACCAUAAGAUUUUUAAGCCCAUAAUUUUUGGAGGUCAAGAAACAGUCAAUUUAGGUAAGUUAAGAAGUUGGUUAUUUUUCAUGCCAGCGUAGGUGUAGAUAGUGAUGCUACAGUACCUGUGAGAUGUUAGGGUCGGUAGGUAGUUUGUUUUGGAAAUUUUAUUAGGGAUUUGUUUUUAUCUUUCUAAACAAUCCCAAAAGGAUUAAAAUUCAUUAACUUGUGGAUCAACUCUGUAAGUUUGUAAAGAGAGUGGAGAAAAGACAUUCUUUGUGCUCUUCGCUCUCACUCGCUCUUCCCCCUCCUAUAACUCUAAUUCUCUCCUUGUCCUACAUCAAUUUGGUAUCAAAGCCAAAGAAUCCUACCUUUUCUUCCUUCUUCUUCUUGAUCUUAUUUAUAUUUACUUCUUAUUUUCUUUUUGUUUUAUAAUAAUCAUGAAUGAGGACUUGAGUUUCAGAAUUGGUGAUCUUAAUGAGCAGGUCAAAUAUGAGAUCUUUUGCUAGAUGGACAACAAGUUGGCAUCUAUCAAUAAUGAUGUGAUGUCGAUGCAGGUUAAAUUGCAAGCAAUUGCAGUGGCUUUAGGUGUUGAAAAGCUCCCUGAGAUCGAGUUACCAAUCAUGAAUCUUAAAUAUGACAAAGCCAAAGAACUAAUGUGUGAAGAGCCUAAGAUUGAAGUUAUCAUGUGAAGAGUCUAUGAGGAUCCAUCAUGCAGCAAUACCACCAUCUAGGACUUGUUAAUUGAAAAUCCGUUAGUUGAUGAUCCGUUAGACUUCUCAAAGGCAAAAGAUCAAAAUAAUGAAAAUCCAUGUGAGGAGCAUAUAUAGCAAGAUCAAG